CCAACUAUUCAUGAGAGUUACUUUGUAACACACAUGGGGGUCAAAGCUGCUCAUCCAAUGAAUAUGCAGUGAAUAUAUAACGUCUAUGUGACCA